GACGUAGGGCGCGAGCGUUGUCCGGAAUUAUUGGGCGUAAAGAGCUCGUAGGCGGCUUGUCGCGUCGACUGUGAAAACCCGUGGCUCAACCAUGUGGUCUGCAGUCGAUACGGGCAGGCUAGAAUUCGGUAGGGGAGACUGGAAUUCCUGGUGUAGCGGUGAAAUGCGCAGAUAUCAGGAGGAACACCGGUGGCGAAGGCGGAUCUCUGGGCCUUACCUGACGCUCAGGCGCGAAAGCUAGGGGAGCGAACAGG
rnacentral:rRNA from 1 species